rnacentral:rRNA from 1 species
UUAAAUUGAAGAGUUUGAUCAUGGCUCAGAUUGAACGCUGGCGGCAGGCUUAACACAUGCAAGUCGAACGGUAGCACAGAGAGCUUGCUCUCGG